UACAGAGGGGGCAAGCGUUGUUCGGAAUUACUGGGCGUAAAGGGCGCGUAGGCGGCCUUCUAAGUCGAACGUGAAAUCCCCGGGCUCAACCCGGGAACUGCGUCCGAUACUGGAAGGCUUGAAUCCGGGAGAGGGAUGUGGAAUUCCAGGUGUAGCGGUGAAAUGCGUAGAUAUCAGGAGGAACACCGAUGGCGAAGGCAGGUCUCUGGGCCACUACUGACGCUGAGAAGCGAAAGCAUGGGGAGCGAACAGG
rnacentral:rRNA from 1 species